AAAUCUGGCGCCUUCGGUGUCCGAGUUGUAAUUUGAAGAUUGUAACCUUGGGGUUGGCUCUUGUCUAUGUUUCUUGGAACAGGACGUCACAGAGGGUGAGAAUCCCGUGCGAUGAGAUGCCCAAUUCUAUGUAAGGUGCUUUCGAAGAGUCGAGUUGUUUGGGAAUGCAGCUCUAAGUGGGUGGUAAAUUCCAUCUAAAGCUAAAUAUUGGCGAGAGACCGAUAGCGAACAAGUACAGUGAUGGAAAGAUGAAAAGAACUUUGAAAAGAGAGUGAAAAAGUACGUGAAAUUGUUGAAAGGGAAGGGUUUGAGAUCAGACUCGAUAUUUUGUGAGCCUUGCCUUCGUGGCGGGGUGACCCGCAGCUUAUCGGGCCAGCAUCGGUUUGGGCGGUAGGAUAAUGGCGUAGGAAUGUGACUUUACUUCGGUGAAGUGUUAUAGCCUGCGUUGAUGCUGCCUGCCUAGACCGAGGACUGCGAUUUUAUCAAGGAUGCUGGCAUAAUGAUCCCAAACCGCCCGUCUUGAAAC
rnacentral:rRNA from 1 species